ACUCUGCGGGAGGCAGCAGUGGGGAAUAUUGCACAAUGGGCGCAAGCCUGAUGCAGCCAUGCCGCGUGUAUGAAGAAGGCCUUCGGGUUGUAAAGUACUUUCAGCGGGGAGGAAGGCGAUAAGGUUAAUAACCUUGUCGAUUGACGUUACCCGCAGAAGAAGCACCGGCUAACUCCGUGCCAGCAGCCGCGGUAAUACGGAGGGUGCAAGCGUUAAUCGGAAUUACUGGGCGUAAAGCGCACGCAGGCGGUCUGUCAAGUCGGAUGUGAAAUCCCCGGGCUCAACCUGGGAACUGCAUUCGAAACUGGCAGGCUAGAGUCUUGUAGAGGGGGGUAGAAUUCCAGGUGUAGCGGUGAAAUGCGUAGAGAUCUGGAGGAAUACCGGUUGCGAAGGCGGCCCCCUGGACAAAGACUGACGCUCAGGUGCGAAAGCGUGGGGAGCAAACAGGAUUAGAUACCCGUGUAGUCCCAUGA
rnacentral:rRNA from 1 species